UGGGGAAUUUUGGACAAUGGACGGAAGUCUGAACCAGCCAUGCCGCGUGGAGGAUGAAGGCCCUCUGGUUUGUACACUUCUUUUAUUUGGGACGAAACACUCUUUAUCUAGAGAGCUUGACGGUACCAGAUGAAUAAGCCCCGGCUACCUCCGUUCCAGCAGCCGCGGUAAUACGGGGGGUGCAAGCGUUAUCCGGAUUCACUGGGUUUACAGGGUGCGUAGGCGGAUUUGUAAGUCCGUGGUGAAAUCUCUAAGCUUAACUUGGAAAUUGCCGUGGAUACUAUAAGUCUAGAAUAUUGUGGAGGUUAGCGGAGUAUGUCAUGUAGCGGUGAAAUGCAUAGAUAUGACAUAGUACACCAAUUGCGAAGGCAGCUGGCUACACAACUAUUGACGCUGAGGCACGAGAGCGUGGGGAUCAAACA
rnacentral:rRNA from 1 species